GAUGAACGCUGGCGGCGUGCCUAAUACAUGCAAGUCGAGCGAACGGACGAGAAGCUUGCUUCUCUGAUGUUAGCGGCGGACGGGUGAGUAACACGUGGAUAACCUACCUAUAAGACUGGGAUAACUUCGGGAAACCGGAGGUAAUACCGGAUAAUAUUUUGAACCGCAUGGUUCAAAAGUGAAAGACGGUCUUGCUGUCACUUAUAGAUGGAUCCGCGCUGCAUUAGCUAGUUGGUAAGGUAACGGCUUACCAAGGCAACGAUGCAUAGCCGACCUGAGAGGGUGAUCGGCCACACUGGAACUGAGACACGGUCCAGACUCCUACGGGAGGCAGCAGUAGGGAAUCUUCCGCAAUGGGCGAAAGCCUGACGGAGCAACGCCGCGUGAGUGAUGAAGGUCUUCGGAUCGUAAAACUCUGUUAUUAGGGAAGAACAUAUGUGUAAGUAACUGUGCACAUCUUGACGGUACCUAAUCAGAAAGCCACGGCUAACUACGUG
rnacentral:rRNA from 1 species